AAGGCAGACGCUGCCGCAGAGAGACUGGAAUAGGCCUUGGAGAUGAUCUCAGGGCCAACAGGAAGAGCCUCCGCUGCAGACAGGUGACAGUGCCUCGGUGACACGAGGCACAACCAGUACAGCUCCGGGGAAGGCGUGCCGUAUGCUAGAAAUUUCUGUGCCAGGCUGGAGAAGCUGCCUGGAGACUCACAAAUUGCUCAUAUAACCAACAUGUCAGCCGGGCCUCUCUGCUCCUGGGGCUGAGGGACGCUUUCUCUGCCCUGUCCAGCCUCCUGCUGGCUCCUGCUGAUCUGCCUGACCCCACCCACCCUGGGCUUCUGCUCUGAGGAGGGGUCGGACAUGGACCCUGCCUGGGUUCUCCCACUGAAACCCAUGGACACAAAGCCAGGUGAGCCCCCAGGAAGACUUACCUGGGCACAGUAGGGGUGGUGUUUGGGCGGACAUGGGUGGGUUCAUGUUACACACCUCACAGCUCACCACCUCGUGAUGUGGUCUGUCCCCCCAGGCUUCUGUGCUGGGAGCCUGGUCCCACGUAUUGUAGCCCUGAAAGGUAGUGGCUCUUUAAAAGGCGGAGCCUAGGGGGAGGCCUUUAGGUCAUGGGGGCACCCUCCCUGGGAGGAAUUAAUCCCCAUCUCUUGGGACUGGAUUGGUUACUGAGAGAGGAGGUUGUCAAAAAGCAAGUUUGGCAUUCUGGUUCUCAAUCUUUCUCCCACUCUGGCCACAUGACCUGUGUCACAUGAGCUCCCACCAUGGGAUGUCAACUACCAGGAGGCCCUUACCAGAAGCUAAUGUCAUUUGGACCUUCAGAACUGUGACCUCUGCCCCACACUGACCCUCUUCAGCCGCACAUUGGACCCUAGCGGAUCCUACAUGCUUGGUGAACGAUUGUAACCUUGGGGUCAAGAGCUUUGUGUGCAGUUAACUGCUCAAAGUUGGGUCCCCUCCAUCUUAUGUAUGUUCUUUUUUGACUCUCAAGCACAAAAGAAAUUUGGGGGAAGAAAGCUUAAUAAUAAAAAUGUUUUUUACAUCUCCUA